rnacentral:misc_RNA from 1 species
GAUGAAGAACGUAGCGAAAUGCGAUAAGUAGUGUGAAAUGCAGAAUUCAGUGAAUCAUCGAAUCUUUGAACGCACAUUGCGCCCCUUGGUAUUCCAUGGGGCAUGCCUGUUCGAGCGUCAUUUGUACCUUCAAGCUCUGCUUGGUGUUGGGUGUUUGUCUCGCCUCUGCGUGUAGACUCGCCUCAAAACAAUUGGCAGCCGGCGUAUUGAUUUCGGAGCGCAGUACAUCUCGCGCUUUGCACUCAUAACGACGACGUCCAAAAGUACAUUUUUACACUCUUGACCUCGGAUCAGGUAGGGAUACCCGCUGAACUUAAGCAUAUCAAUAAGCGGAGGA